rfam:Diaporthe ampelina DA_912_scaffold_v01_1961, whole genome shotgun sequence.
AGCCUUAUAACAUAGUAGUUAAGCACCUAGCUACCUUUUCUUAUAUUAGGAAAGGCGUGGGUUUAAAUCCCACUAAGGCAA